rnacentral:lncRNA from 10 species
UAGCGCCUGGCCCGCUAGGGUCUGCAGCCCCACGUGGGCCGAGGGGUAGAGGAGGAAAUUGAAGACGAAGGCGUUGGGACAGCGCCGCUGCUGCAGGAUGGUGUUUCCCUUCCUGUUUGCUGAUCCACUGGGGCUGUCCCAGAAAGAGAACUACAACGCUACUCUUUCCCAUGCCUUGCUUGUCCACAGGACACAACAUUUGUCUCCUCCAGAAGAUGCAGCAACAAGGUAUCAUCUUGGAAGCAGAGACAGGGCCUUCACCAGACACCAAACCCAAAGAUCCCUUCAUCUUGGACUUUCAGCCUCCAGAACUGUGAGAAAUAAAUUCCUAUUCUUUUAAAAUUACCCAGUCUCAGGUGUUUUGUUGUAUCAACACAAAUGAACAGGCCCAGACUGCGCAAUGUCUGAAGAUCUUCAUUUCACCCUGCUAGUAACAACCAUCCUGUUACGUUUGCACUUCUUUGCAAUUCACCCCAC